AAAUUGAAGAGUUUGAUCAUGGCUCAGAUUGAACGCUGGCUUGGAGCUAACACGCACAAAGUCGAACGGUAUUGUGGAAAACUUUCUUUGCUGUAGUGUGAGGACGAAUUUGAGUAAUGUCUGGGAAACUGCCUGAUGGAGGGGGAUAACUACUGGAAACGGUAGCUAAUACCGCAUAACGUCGCAAGACCAAAGAGGGGGACCUUCGGGCCUCUUGCCAUCGGAUGUGCCCAGAUGGGAUUAGCUAGUAGGUGGGGUAACGGCUCACCUAGGCGACGAUCCCUAGCUGGUCUGAGAGGAUGACCAGCCACACUGGAACUGAGACACGGUCCAGACUCCUACGGGAGGCAGCAGUGGGGAAUAUUGCACAAUGGGCGCAAGCCUGAUGCAGCCAUGCCGCGUGUAUGAAGAAGGCCUUCGGGUUGUAAAGUACUUUCAGCGGGGAGGAAGGGAGUAAAGUUAAUACCUUUGCUCAUUGACGUUACCCGCAGAAGAAGCACCGGCUAACUCCGUGCCAGCAGCCGCGGUAAUACGGAGGGUGCAAGCGUUAAUCGGAAUUACUGGGCGUAAAGCGCACGCAGGCGGUUUGUUAAGUCAGAUGUGAAAUCCCCGGGCUCAACCUGGGAACUGCAUCUGAUACUGGCAAGCUUGAGUCUCGUAGAGGGGGGUAGAAUUCCAGGUGUAGCGGUGAAAUGCGUAGAGAUCUGGAGGAAUACCGGUGGCGAAGGCGGCCCCCUGGACGAAGACUGACGCUCAGGUGCGAAAGCGUGGGGAGCAAACAGGAUUAGAUACCCUGGUAGUCCACGCCGUAAACGAUGUCGACUUGGAGGUUGUGCCCUUGAGGCGUGGCUUCCGGAGCUAACGCGUUAAGUCGACCGCCUGGGGAGUACGGCCGCAAGGUUAAAACUCAAAUGAAUUGACGGGGGCCCGCACAAGCGGUGGAGCAUGUGGUUUAAUUCGAUGCAACGCGAAGAACCUUACCUGGUCUUGACAUCCACGGAAGUUUUCAGAGAUGAGAAUGUGCCUUCGGGAACCGUGAGACAGGUGCUGCAUGGCUGUCGUCAGCUCGUGUUGUGAAAUGUUGGGUUAAGUCCCGCAACGAGCGCAACCCUUAUCCUUUGUUGCCAGCGGUCCGGCCGGGAACUCAAAGGAGACUGCCAGUGAUAAACUGGAGGAAGGUGGGGAUGACGUCAAGUCAUCAUGGCCCUUACGACCAGGGCUACACACGUGCUACAAUGGCGCAUACAAAGAGAAGCGACCUCGCGAGAGCAAGCGGACCUCAUAAAGUGCGUCGUAGUCCGGAUUGGAGUCUGCAACUCGACUCCAUGAAGUCGGAAUCGCUAGUAAUCGUGGAUCAGAAUGCCACGGUGAAUACGUUCCCGGGCCUUGUACACACCGCCCGUCACACCAUGGGAGUGGGUUGCAAAAGAAGUAGGUAGCUUAACCUUCGGGAGGGCGCUUACCACUUUGUGAUUCAUGACUGGGGUGAAGUCGUAACAAGGUAACCGUAGGGGAACCUGCGGUUGGAUCACCUCCUUACCUUAAAGAAGC
rnacentral:rRNA from 1 species